rnacentral:rRNA from 1 species
AGAGUUUGAUCAUGGCUCAGAACGAACGCUGGCGGUGUGCUUAAUACAUGCAAGUCGAACGAGAAAGCCCGGCUUCGGUUGGGCGAGUAAAGUGGCGAACGGGUGAGUAACACGUGGAUAAUCUGCCCUUAUGUCUGGGAUAAUCCUUCGAAAGAAGGUGUAAUACCGGAUAAUACCGCGAGAUGGCAUCAUCUUGCGUUCAAAGGCGGGGUAACCUGUCGCAUAGGGAUGAGUCCGCGCUCCAUUAGCUUGUUGGUAGGGUAACGGCCUACCAAGGCUUCGAUGGAUAGCCGGCCUGAGAGGGUGAUCGGCCACACUGGGACUGAGAUACGGCCCAGACUCCUACGGGAGGCAGCAGUAGGGAAUAUUGCGCAAUGGACGAAAGUCUGACGCAGCAACACCGCGUGGGUGAUGAAGCUCCUUGGAGUGUAAAACCCUGUCAGUGGGGAAGAAACGUACAGGUAGUAACUGCCCUGUGCCUGACGGUACCCACAGAGGAAGUCCCGGCUAACUCCGUGCCAGCAGCCGCGGUAAUACGGGGGGGACAAGCGUUGUUCGGAUUUACUGGGCGUAAAGAGCGCGUAGGUGGACCUUCUAGUCGGGUGUGAAAACUGGCGGCUCAACCGCCGGCCUGCAUUCGAUACUGNUGGUCUUGAGUACAGGAGAGGAGAGCGGAAUUCCAGGUGUAGCGGUGAAAUGNGUAGAUNUCUGGAAGAACACCGGUAGCGAAGGNGGCUCUCUGGCCUGAUACUGACGCUGAGGCGCGAAGGNUUGNUAGCAAACAGGAUUANAUACCCUGNA